GCCCUGGUAGUCUAGUGGCCUAGGAUGGGGCCCUGUCGAGGCUCCGACCCGGGUUCGAAUCCCGGCCAGGGCG
rnacentral:tRNA from 1 species